AGCUUGCUACCUGCCGGCGAGUGGCGAACGGGUGAGUAAUACAUCGGAACGUGCCCUGUAGUGGGGGAUAACUAGUCGAAAGACUAGCUAAUACCGCAUACGACCUGAGGGUGAAAGUGGGGGACCGCAAGGCCUCAUGCUAUAGGAGCGGCCGAUGUCUGAUUAGCUAGUUGGUGGGGUAAAGGCCCACCAAGGCGACGAUCAGUAGCUGGUCUGAGAGGACGAUCAGCCACACUGGGACUGAGACACGGCCCAGACUCCUACGGGAGGCAGCAGUGGGCCCCCA
rnacentral:rRNA from 1 species